rnacentral:rRNA from 1 species
UACAGAGGUGGCAAGCGUUGUUCGGAAUUACUGGGCGUAAAGGGCGCGUAGGCGGCCUUCUAAGGCGGACGUGAAAGCCCCAGGCUUAACCUGGGAACUGCGUCCGAUACUGGAAGGCUUGGAUUCGGGAGAGGGAUGUGGAAUUCCAGGUGUAGCGGUGAAAUGCGUAGAUAUCUGGAGGAACACCGGUGGCGAAGGCGGCAUCAGGGAUCGACACCGACGCUGAGGCGAGAAAGCUAGGGGAGCAAACGGG